GGGUGAGCUGUGAAGGAACAAAGCCUUGUUUAAGUGAAAAGAUAUUUGAUAAUUAUUGAAAGUGACAAGGAAAUAACUAAUAACUGUGAAGGAUAAAUAGAUCUUUUCUUAGGGGAUCAACAUUGGAGUGGGGAAGCCACCAGUUUUGACAGAUGUCAUCACAGGUUUCAAAGUCAAAUGGUUAUGUUGUUCUACCUCAUCUUGUGGUAUCACCAUGGAGAAGAGAAGGCACAGGCAAGAAAGGAUUGUUAAAAUGGAAACAUUGCAAAGUAAACUAGUCCGUUCUUCAGCUGAAUUACUCUGGGUGUACACCAGUAUAACAAGGAUCAGAAUCGGGUCCAGUAUGGCUAGACAUGCAAAGAUUUAUGAGACUCAUCAUAGCAAACGCUAAUACUGAAGAAUUUCCAUCUGGAACACAUUGAAAAUAAAAAAGAAACAAGACAGUAAACAGCAUUAAAGAAGAAAUACAAAUGACACAUAGGGUAUAGUACUCUCCUCUGCCAUAAUGUGAAUGAUGAUGUAUUUUUCUCUGAAAAGCAAUAAUCUUUCUUUAAGGAAAGGUGGAUUUUACUUAGAAUCUUAAUCUACAUUGUUAUUGAUUUGGUUUUGGAGUGGGGAGAGGAGGAGGAGUAGGAAGAAUAAAACAAUGUAAAAUGUAUUUGGUUACACUGCCAGAAGUUGGGGAAGGCGUUCUGAUAUUUAACCAUUUCAUUGCUGCUGAAUUGCGAGGUGUAGCGGGCAAAACACCUUUCUAAAGCUGCGUCACGUACCUCACUGUUGAACUGGCAACGGUCCAGUGGAAUGUUUCCACUUAGCUGGGACACUGAGGAGGGGUCGAUAG